AAACUAUAGAGUUUGAUCCUGGCUCAGAUUGAACGCUGGCGGCAUGCCUUACACCUGCAAGUCGAACGGCAGCACGGGAGCAAUCCUGGUGGCGAGUGGCGAACGGGUGAGUAAUAUAUCGGAACGUGCCCAGUCGUGGGGGAUAACGUAGAGAAAUUUACGCUAAUACCGCAUACGAUCUACGGAUGAAAGCGGGGGAUUCGCAAGAACCUCGCGCGAUUGGAGCGGCUGAUAUCAGAUUAGGUUGUUGGUGAGGUAAAAGCUCACCAAGCCGACGAUCUGUA
rnacentral:rRNA from 1 species